CUGUCCCCCCUUCUUUUUUCCCCCACAGUGUACAUAUGCAUGUUUAUUAUACACAUGCAUACUAAGUAUUAAGACGAAAUCUAAAAUGGCUCAUUCAGUCAGUUAUGGUUCUUUGGAUCAUACCUUGCUACUUGAAUAACUGUGCCAAUUCCAGAGUUAAUACAUGCAGCACAGCUCCAACCCUUUGGGGAUGAGCGUUUUUAUUAGACCAAAACUAAUGAGAUCUUGUGUCCAAAGUAUGUGAUAGCAUAACUUUGGACUGAUCACACCAGCUCGUCCCAGUGAAGUACCUUUCAAGUGUCUACCUUAUCAACUGUCAAUCGCAAGUUGUGUGCCUAUCAUGGUCACAAUGGACGAAGAGUAACCAGAGUUCAAUUCUGGAAAGGUAGUCUGAGAAAUGGCUACCACAUCCAAGAUAGGCAGGAAGAAUGCAAAUUACCCACUCCCAGACCGGGAAGGUAGCGACAAAAGAUAACAGAACAAGACUCCUUUAAGACCCCAUAAAUGGAGUACACUCUAAAUCCUUUAAUGAGGUUCAAUUGGGGGCAAGCCUGGUAGCUGCUACUGGGGUAGUGUAUAUUAAUGUUGUUGCAGUUAAAAAGCUCAUAGCUGGAUUUCAGUUCUAGGUGGGUGGUCUGCCCAUCGAUGAACAUUCUAAACAGUCAGUCAGUUUUCUUUGAUGAUCUUCACCAGUUGUUUUGAGUGACCAUAAGUUUACAUUGAAAAAAAUCAUCGCUCAAAGCAGGCAUAAAGACUAUAAAAAAUAAGCAGUCUCACUUGCUCCUACAUCAAACCUUUUUG
rnacentral:ncRNA from 1 species